rnacentral:ncRNA from 1 species
UUAGAGUUUUAUUUAAGCUUAAAAAUUAAGUUUUUUUUUACUUAAAUGUAAAUUUUAGUAAAAAAUUAUUUUAAAUAAAUAGUUUUAAUUUGCAAUAAGUAUUAUUAAAUAUUAAAGAAAUUUAGAUUUAGCAAUAAAAAAUAAUAUUAACAAAAUUUGUGCCAGCAGUUGCGGUUAUACAAAUAAUAUAAUUUAAUUUAGUUAGUAUUAAUUAAUUUAAAAUAAAAAUAAUUUAAAAUUAAAAUUUAUUAGGUGAAAUUUAUAAAUUUUAAAUAAAAAUUUACUAUUUUUAAUGAAGUUAAAAAAUUUAAUUUAUAAACUAGGAUUAGAUACCCUAUUAUUUUAAACGUAUUUUUUAUACUAAAUUAGUAUUAGUUAUGUUCUUGAAAAUUAAAAAUUUUGGCGGUAUUUUAGUCUAUUCAGAGGAACUUGUCCUAUAAUUGAUAAUCCACGAUUUUAUUUACUUUUUUUAUUAGUUUGUAUAUCGUCGUAAUUUGAAUAUUUUAUAAGAAUAAUAAUGUUUAAGAUUUUAUAUAAGAAAGUAAAUCAGAUCAAGGUGCAGUUUAUAAAAAAGAAGAGAUGAGUUACAAUUAAAUAAUUAUUAGGAUUAUUAUUUAUAAAAUAAUAUGAAUUUGGAUUUGAGGGUAAAUUUAAUAAAUUAAUUAAAUUGAUUUUAGCUCUAAAAUAUGCACAUAUCGCCCGUCGCUUUCAUUUAAUAUGAAAUAAGUCGUAACAAAGUAGAUUUACUGGAAAGUGAAUCUAGAAGCAC